rnacentral:rRNA from 1 species
AGAGUUUGAUCCUGGCUCAGGACGAACGCUGGCGGCGUGCCUAACACAUGCAAGUCGAGCGAGGACAGUGAAGUAGCAAUACGACACUGUUCUAGCGGCGGACGGGUGAGUAACGCGUGAGCAACCUGUCCCGAACAGGGGGAUAACGAGCCGAAAGGCUCACUAAUACCGCAUAAGACCACAGCGUCACAUGACGCAGAGGUCAAAGGAGAAAUCCGGUUCGGGGUGGGCUCGCGUCUGAUUAGCUAGUUGGUGGGGUAACGGCCUACCAAGGCGACGAUCAGUAGCCGACCUGAGAGGGUGAUCGGCCACAUUGGAACUGAGAGACGGUCCAAACUCCUACGGGAGGCAGCAGUGGGGAAUAUUGGGCAAUGGGCGAAAGCCUGACCCAGCAACGCCGCGUGAAGGAAGAAGGUCUUCGGAUCGUAAACUUCUAUCCCCGGUGAAGAUAAUGACGGUAACCGGGAAGGAAGCCCCGGCUAACUACGUGCCAGCAGCCGCGGUA